CAGACGUUUUUCCUUCUAUAAUGCCACUGUCCCAUUCGGCAUUAGACAUGAUAGACUAGUGAGGGGACGGGAGAGAAUUCAGAGAUGAUCAUAAAGAAAUUAUGGGAAUGGUAAUGUAUUUCAGCUUGUGAUUUCCUAUCCUUUGCUAACCCCUCCUUGUUAAGCUUACAUGAGCCCUCAACCAUGGAGCUACUCCCCUCUUGUGGCCACUUGGGGCAUCAUUGCGAUGUGCUCCACUUUCCACUUUUGUCUUCUAAUAUCUGAGCAGGCUGGUUGGCAGACAGUUUUUUUUUUUUCUUAAGCCAAAACUACUUUCCCCAUUUUGUCCUCUUCUGCUUUCUUUUUUCGUUUUUUUCUUUUUGUUCUAAUUCUCUUGUCUACUUUAUUGUUCAUCUUUUUCUUUGCCCUUCAGUUAGAUUUCUCUCUCUCUCUCUCUCUCUCUCUCUCUCUCUCUCUCUGUCUGUCUCUCAGGAGAACAGCAAAGAAAACAGGACCUCCACCAUUAACAUACAGAGUUCUUAUUUAAAUCCCAUUCCCUUUGUCAUCCAUUUAAAAGAGUGAUGCCGAGAGGCAACAAAAAUGGCAUGGUGUGUGGGCAGACUGAGCUCCAAUUGGAUCAUUCCAUGUGAUUGCAGGGUAAACAGUUGGGUGAUGGAUGCCGUCUCAUUACAAUGGGAAAGUGAGAGUUUAAUUUCCUGUACAUGUUCCAUCUUUAUUAAUGUCAGGAACAGCGGGUUGUCAAUUGCAUUAGCACUCAGCUCCCUUGCAUCUGAUCCCACAUGACACAAACAAGGCCGUCUAAACGCUCGUGGAGGUUACACUCCUGCAAAAAACUCUUGAAAUGCCGCCUCUCUCGGUUUAUGUGUAACGACCUCCGCUAAUCGGAUGUGCGAUAUCAGGACACAAUGCACCGACAGCCGAUUAAUAUUCAUUAUCGUCAGAUAACUUCUGACUCCGCUGACCUCGUUCUCUUCCGACACCGCUCCGUUCCCCCUUCAGCACUCAGUCUGACGCUUCACUCAUGACCAGAAAACAAAACACAGCUUAUCAGAAGUCCAAACCAAGAGCAGACCUGUUUCUCCAACACCCCUGGACAGAUCUCUCACAUCAACACACACACACACACACACACACACACACAC
ensembl:lncRNA